GGGUAUAGCUCAGUGGUAGAGCACAUGCUUAGCAUGCAUGAGGUCCUGGGUUCAAUCCCAAGUACCACCA
rnacentral:tRNA from 1 species